rnacentral:rRNA from 1 species
UCGGGAAUUUUGGGCAAUGGGGGAAACCCUGACCCAGCAACGCCGCGUGAAGGAUGAAGUAUUUCGGUAUGUAAACUUCGAAAGAAUAGGAAGAAUAAAUGACGGUACUAUUUAUAAGGUCCGGCUAACUACGUGCCAGCAGCCGCGGUAAUACGUAGGGACCAAGCGUUGUUCGGAUUUACUGGGCGUAAAGGGCGCGUAGGCGGCAUGACAAGUCACUUGUGAAAUCUCUGGGCUUAACCCAGAACGGCCAAGUGAUACUGUCGCGCUAGAGUGCAGAAGGGGCAAUCGGAAUUCUUGGUGUAGCGGUGAAAUGCGUAGAUAUCAAGAGGAACACCUGAGGUGAAGACGGGUUGCUGGGCUGACACUGACGCUGAGGCACGAAAGCGUGGGGAGCAAACAGGAUUAGAUACCCCCGUAGUCCCUGAGCGGGCUGGCAAGGCGCAU